CAAUACAUCUUUGGUUGACUAAGUUUGGUGCUCUGAGGCAUUCCUGACUGUAGAGUUACUUUAUUUUACCUGGAUGAUGGUCUCAUACGUUGGUAUAACUUCUACUCUGAAUGGACUCUGAGUGGGUAUCCUAUAUUUAUUCAUUCAUUAUGGAUCCCUUCUUGGAAGCACUGAUGUUGAAGCUGAAAUUCCAAUAUUUUGGCCACCUGAGGUGAAGAACUGACUUAUUGGAAAAGACCCUGAUGAUGGGAAAGAUUGAAUGUGGGAGGAGAAAGGGACGACAGAGGAUGAGACAGUUGGAUGGCAUCACUGAUGCCAUGAGUUUGAGUAUGCUCCAGGAGUUGGUGAUGGACAGGGAAGCCUGGCGUGCCACAGUCCAUGGG
ensembl:lncRNA